UACGGGGGGGGGGCAAGCGUUGUUCGGAAUUACUGGGCGUAAAGGGCUCGUAGGUGGCCAACUAAGUCAGACGUGAAAUCCCCAGGCUCAACUUGGGAACUGCGUCUGAUACUGGAUGGCUUGAGUUCGGGAGAGGGAUGCGGAAUUCCAGGUGUAGCGGUGAAAUGCGUAGAUAUCUGGAGGAACACCGGUGGCGAAGGCGGCAUCCUGGACCGACACUGACGCUGAGGAGCGAAAGCCAGGGGAGCAAACGGG
rnacentral:rRNA from 1 species